rnacentral:lncRNA from 1 species
AGCCUACCACAGUGUUAGCUAAAAGCAGGAUAAAACGUUAUAUCUUCGACUUGUCCAAAUGACUCUCUAGUGCUCGACCUGUCCAGAUGACUCUCUAGUGCACUCAUUCUCACGCUACAAGCAAAGUAUAGUUCCAUAGCAAUUAAGAAGCAGUAGUAAAACAUGUUAAAAUGGUGGUCAUUUUUACUGAGAGCUAGCUUGAUUCCAUUGUUG